rnacentral:lncRNA from 1 species
UAUGGAUGGACGAGACUCGAGUCCACAGUAUAGGGACACUGAAGUGAGAGUGCAGGUGCUUGUUAGAGAACAAGGGUACUGAGCGUGACCAAGAUAAGAAGUCACUUGGAUGUCUAUCCACUCGUCAGUGACUUACUUGAUGUUGCAGUAGUGUGACUGGUCCUUUGACCUGCGGUGCUUCGGCUACUCACAGUGAGGUUAUUGUAGUUUGACUGCACAUAUAUAUGGUCUCUAGUCAUAUGGGUCCUUGUUGUGUAGAUUGGCUGCAGUAGGUUCACUGUAGGAGUAGGGUAUGCACUUACAUGGAAUCUAUCGACCUUGAUAGAAGAGGAGUGAUCCUAUGUGAUUUAUUAGACAGAGUUCUAAAACCUUGGCCAGGGCAAUAAUAUACAGUGGACAAAGAGUUUUCCACUAUCGAACUCAAGUCGAAUAAAUCUAGACAUAUGACAGACGACGGGGUUUGACGAGUUAUCCAUGACCUCCGGUCUGUAGGGAUCCACN